rnacentral:rRNA from 1 species
GAACGAUUAAAGCUCUCUUCGGAGAGUGUAUAGAGUGGCGCACGGGUGAGUAACACGUAAGUAAUCUACCCUCGAGUGGGGAAUAACAACCGGAAACGGUUGCUAAUACCGCAUAAUGCAGCGGCACCGCAAGGUGACAGUUGUUAAAGAUUUAUCGCUUGAGGAGGAGCUUGCGGCAGAUUAGCUAGUUGGUAGGGUAACGGCUUACCAAGGCUACGAUCUGUAACCGGUCUAAGAGGACGGUCGGUCACACUGACACUGAAUAACGGGUCAGACUCCUACGGGAGGCAGCAGUCGGGAAUUUUGGGCAAUGGGCGAAAGCCUGACCCAGCAACGCCGCGUGAAGGAUGAAGUAUUUCGGUAUGUAAACUUCGAAAGAAUAGGAAGAAUUAAUGACGGUACUAUUUAUAAGGUCCGGCUAACUACGUGCCAGCAGCCGCGGUAAUACGUAGGGACCAAGCGUUGUUCGGAUUUACUGGGCGUAAAGGGCGCGUAGGCGGUGCGGUAAGUCACUUGUGAAAUCUCUGAGCUUAACUCAGAACGGCCAAGUGAUACUGCAGUACUAGAGUGCAGAAGGGGCAAUCAGAAUUCUUGGUGUAGCGGUGAAAUGCGUAGAUAUCAAGAGGAAUACCUGAGGUGAAGACGGGUUGCUAGGCUGACACUGACGCUGAGGCGCGAAAGCUAGGGGAGCAAACGGGAUUAGAUACCCCGGUAGUCCUAGCCCUAAACGAUGAAUACUUGGUGUCUGGAGUCUUUAAUGCUCCGGGUGCCGUCGCUAACGUUUUAAGUAUUCCGCCUGGGGAGUACGCUCGCAAGAGUGAAACUCAAA